UUCUUUCUCAUUAGUUUAAGGAAAAUAACGAUCUGGGUGACGCCAGAUCUUGUGGCUAGUGUCACUUACAAUUUUUUCCGGGGUAACAGGCUGUCCCCGGGUG